GUUGAACGCUGGCGGCAGGCCUAACACAUGCAAGUCGAGCGGAGCGGCGGACGGGUGAGUAAUGCCUAGGAAUCUGCCUGGUCGUGGGGGAUAACGUCCGGAAACGGGCGCUAAUACCGCAUCCUAUCAGAUUAGCCUAGGUCGGAUUAGCUAGUGGGUGGGGUAAAGGCCUACCAAGGCGACGAUCCGGAACUGGUCUGAGAGGAUGAUCAGUCACACGGGAACGGAGACACGGUCCAGACUCACACGGGAGGGAGCAGUGGGGAAUAUUGGACAAGGGGCGAAAGCCUGAUCCAGCCAUGCCGCGUGUGUGAAGAAGGUUUGCGGAGUGUAAAGCACUUUAAGUUGGGAGGCGUUACCAACAGAAUAAGCACCGGCUAAUUCCGUGCCAGCAGCGGCGGUAAUC
rnacentral:rRNA from 1 species